UACGGAGGGUGCGAGCGUUAAUCCGAAUUACUGGGCGUAAAGGGUGCGUAGGCGGUCUUUUAAGUUGGAUGUGAAAUACCCGGGCUCAACUUGGGGGGUGCAUCCAAAACUGGGGGACUUGAGUGUCGGAGAGGAAAGUGGAAUUCCUAGUGUAGCGGUGAAAUGCGUAGAUAUUAGGAGGAACACCAGUGGCGAAGGCGGCUUUCUGGACGACAACUGACGCUGAUGCACGAAAGCGUGGGGAGCAAACAGGAUUAGAUACCCUGGUAGUCCCUGAGCGGG
rnacentral:rRNA from 1 species